GUUGUAUUGUAUUUUUAUUUGUUUUAUUGAAGAUUUACCAGUUAUAUUUUAUCUGGUUCCCAAGCAAUCUGGGAGAUUUCCUGGCUUUGAGUUUGACAACUUGGCUCCAGAAGACUGAAUUCUGGGCCUUACAAUCAAAGAAUUCUCUCAGGUCCCAUGAAUGAAAGCAUUUGCAACACCUUUGUGCCUCUGACCCAAGACAGCCACUAGUAGUCAUCUGGGAGAUGGAGAAGGGGAGGAAGCUAUGUGUGGGCAGGGUUUUUUUUUUCCUCCCUGGGGCAUAGUUCUGUUCUUACACUGCUGCUCUCUAAAUUUCUCUAGGAUGUGAGCAGAAAGGCAAAAAAGGUCAUUUCUUCAACUCACUCCUUUUGUAACGUCAGCACCAGAUUGUGGCUCUGGCAUACAAGAAGCUAAGCCAACAGUACAGUCCCCAAAAGAUGUGAAACCAAGGUAAUCUGUUUCACACAUCCCUCAGAAGAAGGAAUGCCAGAGAGAGAAGGGAUAGAGCCAGGAGCAUUUCCCCCACUACCCGCUCUCAUUGGCUCCCUUUGGGUAAGAAAUAAGAGGAAACUGAGGUCCAGAGAGAAAUAUAUUGCUCAUGGUUACAAUCAGUGGCAGAGACAAGGCUAGGACCCACAUUUUCUGAUUCCUGGUAGAUGUCUCUUUUUAUUUUAUAAAGAAAUAUACAUUUUUAUUUUGUAAAAGAAUAUAAAUAAUUUAUUGUGUACUUAAUCACCAACAAACACAAACCUUUCAAGAUGACAGAGGAUGAUGGGAAAGAAGAUGCAUGUAUAUAUGAUGUAUAUGUAUGACAUGUAAAUAUACAUGCUUAAGUUUAUUAGAGAUAUACUAGGUGUAUGCAUGGAUAUGUAUGUAAAACACAUACAUACUAUAUAUAGUUUAACAAAGUAAUAAAAAAUUGCUCUGUGCCUUUUCUGCA
rnacentral:lncRNA from 1 species